GAUGAACGCUAGCGGCAGGCUUAAUACAUGCAAGUCGAGGGGCAGCAUGGUUGUAGCAAUACAACUGAUGGCGACCGGCAAACGGGUGCGGAACACGUACGCAAUCUACCCAAAACUGAUGAAUAGCCCUCCGAAAGGAGGAUUAAUACAUCGUAACAUAAUUGAAUGGCAUCAUUUAAUUAUUAUAGCUCCGGCGGUUUUGGAUGAGCGUGCGCCGUAUUAGGUAGUUGGCGGGUAACGGACCCACCAAGCCUGCGAUCAGUAACGUGGUGGUGAGAGCACGACCAGUCACACGGGCACUGAGAC
rnacentral:rRNA from 1 species